rnacentral:rRNA from 1 species
ACGAACGCUGGCGGCGUGCCUAACACAUGCAAGUCGAGCGAUACGGAGGUUGGAUGUUUGAGGUUAGAGGUUUGAAUAGAAGAAAUUCCUACGGAAUUUCAACAAGUAUCCAACUUCUAAUUUUCCAACAUCUAACCUCUAUAUAGCGGCGGACGGGUGAGUAACACGUGGGGUAACCUGCCCUUGAGAGGGGGAUAACAGGUCGAAAGGGUCUGCUAAUACCGCAUAAACGCUAAAAAGCUGCAUGGCCGUCUUAGGCAAAAGUUAAUUCCCGCCUCAGGGAUGGGCCCCCGCGGCCCCAUUAGCUAGGUGGGUGAGGGUAUUGCCUCACCAAGGGCGGACCGAUUGGGUAAGCCGGGCUGAAAAAGGGUGGUCUCGGGCCCACCUGGGGACACUUGAAACAACGCCCCAAACUCCCUACCGGGAAGGCAGGCAGUGUGGGGAUAUAUUGCCGGCAAUGGGGGGAAACCCUUGAACGCAACCACGCCCCCCUGUAGACCGAUUGAAGGGCUUUUCGGUUGUGUAAGCUUUUGUGCCUUCCCUGAACGAUAUAUUGACCCGUAAGGGGAAGAGAAGGAAGCCACCGGCUAACUUCGUGUGCCACCACCGCGCGUAAAUACGUAUAGUGGGCGAGACGUUGUGCUCGGAAUUACCUGGGGCGCUAAAGGGGUGUCGCGUAAGCCGGGUCCCUUAAGUGGGGGAUGGGGAAAUCCUCUGGGCUCUCACCCAAGGAACUCUCAAUUUCCAAACCCUGGAGAGACCUAGAGGGUCCAGGAGAGAGGAAAGCGGAAUUUCCCAGUGUAGCGGGUGAAAUGCGUAGAGAUUGGGAGGAACACCAGUGGCCGAGGCGGCUUUCUGGACUGUAACUGACGCUGAGGUACGAAAGCGUGGGGAGCAAACAGGAUUUAGAUACCCUGGUAGUCCACGCUGUAAACGAUGGAUGCUAGGUGUAGGUGAGAAGGACUCAUCUGUGCCGGAGUUAACACAAUAAGCAUCCCACCUGGGGAGUACGGCCGCAAGGUUGAAACUCAAAGGAAUUGACGGGGGCCCGCACAAGCGGUGGAGCAUGUGGUUUAAUUCGAAGCAACGCGAAGAACCUUACCAGGGCUUGACAUCCUGCGGAUCUGGUGGAAACACUGGAGUGCCUGCUUUUAAGUAGGAACGCAGAGACAGGUGGUGCAUGGUUGUCGUCAGCUCGUGUCGUGAGAUGUUGGGUUAAGUCCCGCAACGAGCGCAACCCCUAUGAUUAGUUGCCAGCGGGUAGAGCCGGGCACUCUAAUCAGACUGCCGCUGAUGAAGCGGAGGAAGGUGGGGAUGACGUCAAAUCAUCAUGCCCUAUAUGUUCUGGGCUACACACGUGCUACGAAUGGUCGUGAGACAGAGGGAAGCGAAGCAGUGAUGUGGAGCGAAUCUCAGAAAAGCGACCCCAGUUCAGAUUGCAGGCUGCAAACUCGCCUGCAUGAAGUCGGAAUCGCUAGUAAUCGCGGAUCAGCAAGCCGCGGUGAAUACGUUCCCGGGCCUUGUACACACCGCCCGUCACACCAUGAGAGUUGGCAACUACCCGAAGAUACUUUAGGAAGGUAUUGAAGGUGGGGCUGAUGAUUG